UGGGCUUUGCUGCCGCCUCUGUGGGGGCUGCCGGGGCGGGAGAGGCUCUGUUUUGGGGACGGCCAGAGUGCUAGGCAAGGAGGAACUGACAGGCCUUUUGGAUGGUCUUGGGGCCCCCAGCCGCUACAGAAAGGUCACUCUUUUUUAAUUCUUCCACUUUAGCUCUGGAAUCGGGUUCACUUUCAGGUAGAGGGUGGGGAGAGAGGAGAGAGAAAGAUAUAUGUAAACACCAGAAACAGAGGAUGGGAAAGACAGAGACAAAGGAAAUCCUACAAAAGCUAUGACAGAAAAAAAUGAAGAUGCAUGUCUUCUUUUCCAGACAAAUCACUUCAAGUUUACAACCUUGGGAGGUGGACCGAAGGGGUCAGCCAUGGGCCCAAAAUCAGCUCCAGCAAUUACUACCUGUGUGGCCCUGGAGAUAACUGGUUGGAAUCAAGCUGAGGAGGAAGGAGGGCCUUCCCAUGUGUUGUGAUGGGCAGCUGACACUCACCAAACAUGCCAGGCACACCCCCGAGGAUGUGUCACAUAUGGACCCAUUACCCCCCUCCGCAGGUGGAGAGCAUACUUUGACUGGUGAGGAGCAGCCUGCCUUGGUCUAGCACCUGUUCUGAAAUGUGGACAGUCCUUAGUUGAAUGGGAAACAAGUGGGAAGUUUAGGAAAUGAACCUUGUAGGGUGGU